rfam:Penicillium camemberti str. FM013
GCCAGCGUAGCUCAAUGGUAGAGCGUCAGGCUUUUAACCUGAAUGUUGCGGGUUCGACCCCCGCCGUUGGCU